rnacentral:lncRNA from 1 species
CUGAGCUGAAACCAACUGAGUUGUACCAAUCUGACUUGGUUACGCACUCACCAUAUUAGAUGCUGGUCAUGUUUAAAAGAAAAUAUCUCAGUCGGCAGUGACUGUAGGUUUUGGUCAGCCCAAUAAGUUAAAAUAGGUAUUACUACCAACUGAUAAUCUGUUGGGUUUAGCUGACUCGUUUUGGCCUGAUCCUUUGAACUGAUCUUUCUAUUGAUGUAAGGAGGAAACUGAAAACCACAUAGACAUCCCUGCAUGUAUCUGUGCUCUUCUUCAGUUGUAAAUGGGUGUCAACUUUUUUCUCACAAUCACCUGAAACCAAUUCAUUAUUUUGAUACUAUUUUUGUUUAGCUUUUUCUCCAUAAAUAGUAAACAUGGGCACUAAUUGCUUCCAGUGCUUUUUAGCACUUAACCAGUUGCUAUAUUGAACUGAAUAUUGUAAUUGCUUUUUAAAGAACUGAACCAUUGAUUACAUUUCUCUUGGCCCAUAGACGACUUGUCAAAGUGUCAUUCUACUGAGUUUUUUUUAAAUUCUAAAGAAUAAUGAAAUGGACAAAACCCAAUGACCAAAAUAAUUUAAUUUGAGCUAUUACUUUGGCAAAAAAUGCUUCAUGUAUCCAUUAAUGAUCUCCUUUCUACAGGCAAUUUGUCCCACUGAUCUUAUGUAAAACUGAUUAGCACUGUGUUUACUGAUGACCAUAUGAAGCAUUCAAUUAAAAGAUGUCCCUCCCUAUAAUCAAAUACCUGGAAGAAUCUGUUGUGGGUUUGCUUUUCUGUUUUUUUACUGUGUUGAACAUGUGUAAGGCAUGUACGUUUUAGAGUCCCAUGUUCAACUCAUUUUCCAAAUGUUGGAUAUCUAUUGAAGGUUGUGGAUCUUGCAUCAGGACAGUGAACCCAAACGCACAUCCAGGAAUGAAGAAGAUAAUUUGGACAGCAAGGAGUACAGAUCUGAAUCAAAUCCAUAACCUAUGGCAAGAGCUGAAAACAGCAGUUGGUGCAUGGACCCCUUCAACAUUGAAGAGGGGUGCCGGUUUUCCCCGUAGAAAGUGCAGGUUUCUAAAAAGCCAAGUAUCCAGGAGAAAUGUUCAAAAAUGAAAGGUUUUAUUGGGCUUGGAAAAAGGUCGUUGGGAUAACAUUGCUGCAGGUAAGUAAUGAAACAAAUCUUUUAAAAAAAGUUUCCUUAUAAAGAAUCUGACAAAUUAUUGGUCACACAGGUUUAAUUGGGCAUUCAGUUUCUCCAGGCUUUUUCUUCGCAAGAGUACUCAAGAGACUUAUCUAGAGCCUGGCAAAUUAUAGCGCUUUUCCACUGCAUGGUAACGGCUCGACUCUGCUCUACACGCCUCACCUUAUUUGCUUUUCCACUGGACAAAAGUGAGGAUAGUAACUGCUACCAGAUACUUUUUUUAGUACCUGCUCCGUCGAGGUUCCAAGCGAGCUGAGGCGAUACCAAAAUGGAUCUACUGGCCACCUAGCAUCCCUUUUUGACAUGGCUCCAUAUGUCAAACUACUGCCCUUGCGUAGCUUGUUUUUGGUCAAAGGUUCAGGAGUGACCAAAAAAUCGCAAAAUGUAUCAUAAAUAUUUCUUAUAAACAGCUCUGUUGGGUGAUUUGGAAAGCCCUUGUCUAUCACUUAACAAUGUAUACAGAACAAAAAUAUAAAUGCUACAUGGAAAGUGUUAUAUUUAAUGAGCUGAAAUAAAAAUAAAAAUGAAUGCAAAAACAUCCAUGUGUACAAACAUUAUGCAUUGAUUAAGUCCUAAUGAAUCCAUUUAGUUAGAAUUAUGUCAUUAUAGGAAUUUUGCUCUGUAAAAUCUUUUAAAU